UACAGAGGUCCCGAGCGUUGUUCGGAUUCAUUGGGCGUAAAGGGUGUGUAGGUGGCGCGCUAAGUCGGGUGUGAAAUUUCGGAGCUUAACUCCGAAACUGCAUUCGAUACUGGCGUGCUUGAGGACUGGAGAGGAGACUGGAAUUUACGGUGUAGCGGUGAAAUGCGUAGAUAUCGUAAGGAAGACCAGUGGCGAAGGCGGGUCUCUGGACAGUUCCUGACGCUGAGGCACGAAGGUCAGGGGAGCAAACGGG
rnacentral:rRNA from 1 species